AGAGUUUGAUCAUGGCUCAGGACGAACGCUGGCGGCGUGCCUAAUACAUGCAAGUCGAGCGAACAGAAAAGGAGCUUGCUCCUUUGACGUUAGCGGCGGACGGGUGAGUAACACGUGGGCAACCUACCCUAUAGUUUGGGAUAACUCCGGGAAACCGGGGCUAAUACCGAAUAAUCUCUUUUGCUUCAUGGUGAAAGACUGAAAGACGGUUUCGGCUGUCGCUAUAGGAUGGGCCCGCGGCGCAUUAGCUAGUUGGUGAGGUAACGGCUCACCAAGGCGACGAUGCGUAGCCGACCUGAGAGGGUGAUCGGCCACACUGGGACUGAGACACGGCCCAGACUCCUACGGGAGGCAGCAGUAGGGAAUCUUCCACAAUGGGCGAAAGCCUGAUGGAGCAACGCCGCGUGAGUGAAGAAGGUUUUCGGAUCGUAAAACUCUGUUGUAAGGGAAGAACAAGUACAGUAGUAACUGGCUGUACCUUGACGGUACCUUAUUAGAAAGCCACGGCUAACUACGUGCCAGCAGCCGCGGUAAUACGUAGGUGGCAAGCGUUGCCCGGAAUUAUUGGGCGUAAAGCG
rnacentral:rRNA from 1 species